UACGGGGGAUGCAAGCGUUAUCCGGAAUGAUUGGGCGUAAAGCGUCCGCAGGUGGCAAUGUAAGUUCUGCUGUCAAAGCGUCUGGCUACAACCCAGAUAAAGGCAGUGGAAACUACAUAGCUAGAGUAAGGUAGGGGUAGAGGGAAUUCCUGGUGGUAGCGGUGAAAUGACGUAGAGAUCAGGAAGAACACCGGUGGCGAAAGCGCUCUGCUGGACCUUAACUGACACUGAGGGACGAAAGCUAGGGGAGCGAAUGGG
rnacentral:rRNA from 1 species